UGGGGAAUAUUGGACAAUGGGCGAAAGCCUGAUCCAGCCAUGCCGCGUGAGUGAUGAAGGCCCUAGGGUUGUAAAGCUCUUUCACCGGUGAAGAUAAUGACGGUAACCGGAGAAGAAGCCCCGGCUAACUCCGUGCCAGCAGCCGCGGUAAUACGGAGGGGGCUAGCGUUGUUCGGAAUUACUGGGCGUAAAGCGUACGUAGGCGGAUGCGCAAGUUGGGGGUGAAAUCCCGGGGCUUAACCUCGGAAUUGCCCUCAAAACUGCACGUCUUGAGACCGAGAGAGGUAAGGGGAAUUCCUAGUGUAGAGGUGAAAUUCGUAGAUAUUAGGAAGAACACCAGUGGCGAAGGCGCCUUACUGGCUCGGUACUGACGCUGAGGUACGAAAGCGUGGGGA
rnacentral:rRNA from 1 species